UAAGCGGAGGAAAAGAAACCAACAGGGAUUGCCUCAGUAACGGCGAGUGAAGCGGCAAGAGCUCAACUUUGGAAUCGCUCCGGCGAGUUGUAGUCUGGAGGUGGCCACCACGAGGUGUUCUAGCAGCAGGCAAGUCCUUUGGAACAAGGCGCCAGCGAGGGUGACAGCCCCGUACCUGCUUUUGCUAGUGCUUCCUGUGGCCCACCGACGAGUCGAGUUGUUUGGGAAUGCAGCUCUAAGUGGGUGGUAAAUUCCAUCUAAGGCUAAAUAUUGGCGAGAGACCGAUAGCGAACAAGUACAGUGAUGGAAAGAUGAAAAGCACUUUGAAAAGAGAGUGAAACAGUACGUGAAAUUGUUGAAAGGGAAGGGCUUGCACCCAGACACGGUUUCGGCCGGGCCAGCAUCAAGUAGAACGGGGUUAAAAGACCUGGGGAAUGUAGCUACCUCUUGGUAGUGUUAUAGCCCUUGGGUGAUGACCCCUGUUUUGCUUGAGGACAGCGGUCUCUAGGAUGCUGGCGCAAUGGUUGCAAGCCACCCGUCUUG
rnacentral:rRNA from 1 species